GAAAUAGGGUGAGGACUGGACUUACUGCAGGGAGGGAAAUAGGGUAAGGACUGGACUUACUGCAGGGGAGGACUGGACUUACUGCAGGGGGAAAUAGGGGUAAGGACUGGACUUACUGCAGGGAGGGAAAUAGGGUAAGGACUGGACUCACUGCAGGGAGGACUGAAAGGACAACAGGACACAGACAGACACACUCGCAAGCACACACACACACACACAGACUCACGCUGGACAUUCAGUGCAUUCUGAAAGUAUUCAGACCCC
ensembl:lncRNA